rfam:Camelus ferus unplaced genomic scaffold scaffold172, whole genome shotgun sequence.
UGAGGUACAGCUCAGUGGUAGAGUGCAUGCUUAACUUGCACAAGGUCCUGGGUUCAAUCCCCAGUACUUCCA